rnacentral:rRNA from 1 species
AACGAACGCUGGCGGCAUGCCUAACACAUGCAAGUCGAACGAGACCUUCGGGUCUAGUGGCGCACGGGUGCGUAACGCGUGGGAAUCUGCCCUUGGGUUCGGAAUAACAGUUGGAAACGACUGCUAAUACCGGAUGAUGACGUAAGUCCAAAGAUUUAUCGCCCAGGGAUGAGCCCGCGUAGGAUUAGCUAGUGGGUGUGGUAAAGGCCUACCAAGGCGACGAUCCUUAGCUGGUCUGAGAGGAUGAUCAGCCACACUGGGACGGAGACACGGCCCAGAAUAUUACGGGAAGCAGGAGUGGGUGAUAUAGGCAUAUGGGCGAAAUCAUGAUCCAGCUAGGCCGCGUGAGUGAUGAUGUCGGUAGGGAAGUAAAGCUCUUUUACCCGGGAUGAUAAUGACAGUACCGGGAGAAUAAGCACCGGCUAACUUCGUG